UAUACUUAUAUAAUUGAGAGGACCAACGGAGGCCUCUCAUUGAUUCUCAACAAAUAGAGCUCUCUUAUUAAUUCUCAGCAAAUAGAGCUCUCUCAUAGUUUCCAACCUUUUAAAAACACUUAUUUUAAUUAAAUUUUAAAUUUGUAGAGUAACAUUCCUAAAUUAAAUCAACUUCUUUAGAAGAACAAUACAUCAAACUUUUCCUCUCCUCCUAUCCACAUCUUAUUCGUUCCCUUUUCUCCUAUUAACAUCUUAUUCAUUAUGAUUUCAACAUCAAAUUACUGUUUCACGUUUCAUCAACUUCUUAAUCUGAUUUACAAACAAAAUUUCUUAAUCUAUUCCUAUUAGGGCAUUAAUGACUAUUUUUGCUUUGAUAUUUUCCCAUGAUAAAUAGAAACCAAUUGAAAUCCAGAAAUAGUUUAUACGAGGUUUGAAACCAGCAGCAAUAAGCCAUAGACGAGGUCGAUCUGAUGUUAAAUUUGUUAUGUUACUACUAAUUGCACCAGGGUACAAGUGCAACCAGUUCUCUAAUGGCAAAAAGUAAAAGAUAAGUCCAUUUUUCUAUGAUUUAUUAGUAUAAUAAGGUUCAUGAUUGAUUUUUUCUAUUUUUUUGUGAUAUUAAAUUAAAUUACUUUUCAUGUUAAACUUGACUAGCAAACUUAACUUCAAGUUAACCAUAUUUGAUAAAUAUAAAGGUUAAGUUUUGAUGGCAAACUGGGAUAUCUCUAAUAAAACAGUAAUAUUUCCACCAUUUUUCUAUGAUACUUUUAUUAUAGUGGUUUAAAAAUUAUGUCCGCUAAUGAUGGAUGUGUAUAAAUUAUGAGGUACUUUGAGUUGAAACUGAUUAUUAUCCCGUUCCAAUUUUGAGAUAUCCGCCAAUGUUUUUCGGUGUUUUUUUAAGUGGAGCUCAUAUAAAAUUUGUUUGUUUUACAUAGGUGAAUUCCAUAACCUGCCAUAUCCUCCCCAAUUGUUAAGCAUGAGAGAAUCGAGUCGGGUUGCGGGUUUGAAUUUGGCAUCUGGAUCUUCUGACAUUCUUCCUCAAAUUGAAUGUCAUUUGGUACGAUAUAAUUUAUUUAAAUUAAAUGUAAUCCUGAAUUUAAAAUUUGGAUGUUGGCCUGUUGGAAA